AAGGAUCAUUACAGAGUUCAUGCCCUCACGGGUAGAUCUCCCACCCUUGAAUAUUAUACCUUAGUUGCUUUGGCAGGCCGGGGUAACCCCCGGGGCUUCGGCCUCGGUGCGCCUGCCAGAGGAAACAAACUCUGUUCUUAGUGAUGUCUGAGUACUAUAUAAUAGUUAAAACUUUCAACAACGGAUCUCUUGGUUCUGGCAUCGAUGAAGAACGCAGCGAAAUGCGAUAAGUAAUGUGAAUUGCAGAAUUCAGUGAAUCAUCGAAUCUUUGAACGCACAUUGCGCCCCGUGGUAUUCCGCGGGGCAUGCCUGUUCGAGCGUCAUUUCAACCCAUCAAGCUUCGGCUUGGUCUUGGGGCCUGCGAUUCCGCAGCCUCUAAACCCAGUGGCGGUGCCUCCGAGCUCUGAGCGUAGUAAUUCUUCUCGCUAUAGGGUCUCGGUGGUGUCUUGCCAGUAACCCCCAAUUUUUUACAGGUUGACCUCGGAUCAUGUAGGGAUACCCGCUGAACUUAAGCAUAUCAAUAAGCGGAGGAAAAGAAACCAACAGGGAUUACCUCAGUAACGGCGAGUGAAGCGGUAACAGCUCAAAUUUGAAAUCUGCCGCAAGGCCGAGUUGUAAUUUGUAGAAGAUGCUUUGGGUAUGGCCCCGGUCUAAGUUCGUUGGAACACGACGUCAUAGAGGGUGAGAAUCCCGUAUGUGACUGGGUGCUUUUGCCUAUGUAAAGCUCUUUCGACGAGUCGAGUUGUUUGGGAAUGCAGCUCAAAAUGGGUGGUAUAUUUCAUCUAAAGCUAAAUAUUGGCCAGAGACCGAUAGCGCACAAGUAGAGUGAUCGAAAGAUGAAAAGCACUUUGGAAAGAGAGUUAAACAGUACGUGAAAUUGUUGAAAGGGAAGCGCUUGCAACCAGACUUGCACGCUGUUGAUCAUCCAGGCUUCUGUCUGGUGCACUCGGCAGUGUUCAGGCCAGCAUCGGUUCUGGUGGUGGGAUAAAGGCCUUGGGAAUGUAGCUUCUUUCGGGGAGUGUUAUAGCCCUCGGUGCAAUGCCGCCUAUCGGGACCGAGGACCGCGCUUCGGCUAGGAUGCUGGCGUAAUGGUUGUAAGCGACC
rnacentral:rRNA from 1 species